rnacentral:rRNA from 1 species
UACGUAGGGUGCGAGCGUUGCCCGGAUUUAUUGGGCGUAAAGGGCGCGUAGGCGGCCACGCACGUCCGUUGUGAAAUCGCCCGGCUCAACUGGGCGGGGUCAGCGGAUACGGUGUGGCUCGAGCAAGCUAGGGGGCAAUGGAAUUCCCGGUGUAGUGGUGGAAUGCGUAGAUAUUGGGAAGAACACCGGUGGCGAAGGCGGCGAGCUGGUCCAUUACUGACGCUGAGGCGCGACAGCGUGGGGAGCAAACAGG